rnacentral:tRNA from 2 species
GGUUCCGUAGUGUAAUGGUCAGCACUCUGGACUUUGAAUCCAGCGAUACGAGUUCAAAUCUCGGCGGAACCU